rnacentral:rRNA from 1 species
AGAGUUUGAUCCUGGCUCAGGAUGAACGCUAGCGGCGUGGAUAAGGCAUGCAAGUCGAACGGUCCCGCAUUUUGCGGGAUAGUGGCAAACGGGUUAGUAACACGUAGAUACACACCCUCUACACAGGCAUAAUCUCGCGAAAGCGGGACUAAUUCCUGAUAGUCCGAGUACUCAAUUCGUUGAGUGCUCGGUAAAUGGUUUCGAGCAAUCGAUUCCGGUAGAGGAAUGGUCUGCGGCUUAUCAGCUUGUUGGUGAGGUAAUGGCUCACCAAGGCUAUGACGGGUAGGGGAUAUGAGAGUGUGUUCCCCAACAAGGGCACUGCGACACGGGCCCUACUCCCACGGGAGGCAGCAGUCGAGAAUAUUCGACAAUGGGCGAAAGCCUGAUCGAGCGACGCCGCGUGCUCGAAGAAGCCCUUCGGGGUGUAAAGAGCUUUUCUGGAGGAAGAACCUUCGGGUGACGGUACUCCAGGAAUAAGGAGAUGCUAAUCACGUGCCAGCAGCAGCGGUAAUACGUGAUCUUCAAGCGUUAUCCGGAUUUAUUGGGCGUAAAGCGUCCGUAGGCGCACCGCCAGGUUUUCUGUUAAACCCUAGGGCUCAACCUUAGAACUGCAGAAAAAACCGGCGGAGUAGAGGGCAUUAGAGGCUGAUGGAACGGUCGGUGUAGGGGUGAAAUCCGUUGAUAUCGACCGGAACACCAAAUGCGAAGGCAUUCAGCUGGGGUGACCCUGACGCUGAGGGACGAAAGCGUGGGUAGCGAAAAAGAUUAGAUACCUUUGUAGCCCACGCCGUAAACGAUGGACACUAGCUAUUUGAAGUGUCGACCCUUCAAGUGGCGAAGCUAACGCGUUAAGUGUCCCGCCUGGGAAGUACGACGGCAACGUUAAAACUCAAAGGAAUAGACGGGGCUUUACACAAGCGGUGGAUCAUGUGGCUCAAUUCGACAAUAAGCGAAGAACCUUACCAGGGCUUGACAGACUAGUGAAACCUCGCAGAAACGUGAGGCUCCCACAAGGCACUAGUCCAGGUGCUGCAUGGUUGUCGUCAGCAUGUGCUUUGAAGUGCUCCCUUAAAUGGGGUAACAUGCGCAACCCUCGCUCUAUGUUUUACGUGUCAUAGAGAACUGC